UUGCACAGGUGCUGCAUGGCUGUCGUCAGCUCGUGUCGUGAGAUGUUCGGUUAAGUCCGCUAACGAGCGCAACCCUCGUCGUGUGUUACAAGUGUCACGCGAGACCGCCGACGUCAAGUCGGAGGAAGGUGGGGAUGAUGUCAAGUCAGCAUGGCCUUUAUAUCCAGGGCUACACACACGCUACAAUGGUCAACACAAUAGGUCGCGAAACCGCGAGGUGGAGCCAAUCCUCAAAGUUGGCCUCAGUUCAGAUUGUAGGCUGCAACUCGCCUGCAUGAAGAUGGAGUUGCUAGUAACCGCAGGUCAGCACUACUGCGGUGAAUACGUUCCCGGGGUUU
rnacentral:rRNA from 1 species